AUUGAACGCUGGCGGCAUGCCUUACACAUGCAAGUCGAACGGUAACAGGUCUUCGGAUGCUGACGAGUGGCGAACGGGUGAGUAAUACAUCGGAACGUGCCUAGUAGUGGGGGAUAACUACUCGAAAGAGUGGCUAAUACCGCAUGAGAUCUACGGAUGAAAGCAGGGGAUCGCAAGACCUUGUGCUACUAGAGCGGCCGAUGGCAGAGUAGGUAGUUGGUGGGAUAAAAGCUUACCAAGCCGACGAUCUGUAGCUGGUCUUAGAGGACGAUCAGCCACACUGGGACUGAGAAACGGCCCAGACUCAUACGGGAGGCAGCAGUGGGGAAUUUUGGACAAUGGGCGAAAGCCUGAUCCAGCAAUGCCGCGUGCAGGAUGAAGGCCUUCGGGUUGUAAACUGCUUUUGUACGGAACGAAAAGCCCCGGGUUAAUACCCUGGGGUCAUGACGGUACCGUAAGAAUAAGCACCGGCUAACUACGUGCCAGCCGCCGCAGUAA
rnacentral:rRNA from 1 species